rnacentral:rRNA from 1 species
GACGAACGCUGGCGGCGUGCUUAACACAUGCAAGUCGAACGGAAAGGCCCUGCUUUUGUGGGGUGCUCGAGUGGCGAACGGGUGAGUAACACGUGAGUAACCUGCCCUUGACUUUGGGAUAACUUCAGGAAACUGGGGCUAAUACCGGAUAGGAGCUCCUGCUGCAUGGUGGGGGUUGGAAAGUUUCGGCGGUUGGGGAUGGACUCGCGGCUUAUCAGCUUGUUGGUGAGGUAGUGGCUUACCAAGGCUUUGACGGGUAGCCGGCCUGAGAGGGUGACCGGCCACAUUGGUACUGAGAUACGGCCCAGACUCCUACGGGAGGCAGCAGGGGGGAAUAUUGCACAAUGGGCGGAAGCCUGAUGCAGCAACGCCGCGUUCGGGAUGACGGCCUUCGGGGUGUAAACCGCUUUCGCCUGUGACGAAGCGUGAGUGACGGUAAUGGGUAAAGAAGCACCGGCUAACUACGUG